UGAGCUACCAUUUUGAUGUUUCGAUCAGCUGUUGUAUGCUUUUAGUUGUUGCGGUUUUGUACUCCUCUCUCCACGAAUAUUUAUAUGGUUUCUGAGAAUGGCAUUUCCCCAGAAAAGUCUGACUUUAUCCAGCAAGGCUCUGACAGUGUCCUAGAAUAUCCAGAAAGCAAUCAUAUUGAAAUACACAUGAAAGGGAAGGAUUACACUAUUGAACAUGAGAACAUCUCUAAACCUCAAGCAACAAACAUAGAAAGUAAUGGUGUACAUCAUUCAACCAGUAAGGAAGCACCUCAACCCACAAAAAAGAAGAAGAAAAACUGUUCAUGGAAGAAAGCUGAUUUCGUUCUGCCAGAUACCAUGAGGAAAGACAACAUACUUCCGCCACCAUUUGAUGAAGACCUAACUCCAAUGAAUUCGUUUCAGGUUUCUGUUGAUGAUGAAAUAUGCGAAUCCAUUGCCCUUGAAACAAAUCGUUACACACACA